UACGGGGGGGGGCAAGCGUUGUUCGGAAUUACUGGGCGUAAAGGGCUCGUAGGCGGCCAACUAAGUCAGACGUGAAAUCCCUCGGCUUAACCGGGGGAACUGCGUCUGAUACUGGAUGGCUUUGAGUUUGGGGAGAGGGAUGCGGAAUUCCAGGUGUAGCGGUGAAAAUGCGUAGAUAUCUGGAGGAACACCGGUGGCGAAGGCGGCAUCCUGGACCGAGAUUACGCUGAGGCGCGAAAAGCUAGGGGGAGCAAACGGGG
rnacentral:rRNA from 1 species